GAGAACCUGCACACAGGUGCUGCAUGGCUGUCGUCAGCUCAUGUCGUGAGAUGUUGGGUUAAGUCCCGCAACGAGCGCAACCCUUGCCAUUAGUUGGCUACGAAAGGGCACUCUAAUGGGACUGCCGGUGACAAACCGGAGGAAGGUGGGGAUGACGUCAAGUCCUCAUGGCCCUUAUAGGUGGGGCUACACACGUCAUACAAUGGCCGGUACAGAGGGUAGCCAACCCGCGAGGGGGAGCCAAUCCCACAAAGCCGGUCGUAGUCCGGAUCGCAGUCUGCAACUCGACUGCGUGAAGUCGGAAUCGCUAGUAAUCGCGGAUCAGCAUGUCGCGGUGAAUACGUUCCCGGGUCUU
rnacentral:rRNA from 1 species